rnacentral:rRNA from 1 species
UACGGAGGGAGCUAGCGUUGUUCGGAAUUACUGGGCGUAAAGCGCACGUAGGCGGCUUUGUAAGUUAGAGGUGAAAGCCCGGGGCUCAACCCCCGGAAUUGCCUUUAAGACUGCAUCGCUUGAAUCCAGGAGAGGUGAGUGGAAUUCCGAGUGUAGAGGUGAAAUUCGUAGAUAUUCGGAAGAACACCAGUGGCGAAGGCGGCUC